CACGGAGUUAGCCGGGGCUUCUUUACUGGGUACCGUCAUUAUCUUCCCCAGCGAAAGAGCUUUACAACCCUAAGGCCUUCAUCACUCACGCGGCAUGGCUAGAUCAGGGUUUCCCCCAUUGUCUAAGAUUCCCCACUGCUGCCUCCCGUAGGAGUCUGGGCCGUGUCUCAGUCCCAGUGUGGCUGGUCAUCCUCUCAAACCAGCUAUGGAUCGUCGGCUUGGUAGGCCAUUACCCCACAACUACCUAAUCCAACGCGGGCCGAUCCUUUGCCGAUAAAUCUUUCCCCGUAGGGCACAUACGGUAUUACCCCCAGUUUCCCGAGACUAUUCCGUAGCAAAGGGUACGUUCCCACGUGUUACUCACCCGUCCGCCACUCACCCCGAAGGAUGCGUUCGACUUGCAUGUGUUAGGCCUGCUGCCAGCGUUCAUUCUGAGCCAGGAUCAAACUCU
rnacentral:rRNA from 1 species